CUUUGCUGCUUUUACAGAUCCAGACUAACACAGCUACCCCUCUGAUACUUUGUUCCUCUAGGUUCAGCCAUGCAGCAGCCAAGCCGUGAGGUGGAAGGAGGUGAAGUUCGUGUGCAAGAGCUGACCAUGAUCCUGUGAGACUCUCUCUGGGCGGCUGUAAAGUGGCCACAGGGUCAGGUCCAUGAGCAUGCUGAACCAAUGCUGGUAUGGCCGUGACCCACGCCUUGUCCCUCCUGAUCUUCAAGAGAACCUUGCUCAUGAGUAGAAAUCGACAGGAAGGCGUACAUCACGUCUGUGGACCAUGACAGGAGAAAGACAUUGGAAAAUGAGCAUCUGCCUAGGCCUUGCAGAGAGCAGAACUGAUGACACUUUCUGUUCUGUCUGGUGGUGAACAGGUCCACUCGGGGAGCUCCCCACUUCUGGAAGAGCAUCCUGACAACUUCUGAGUGAAGGGUGAGAGAAGAAAGGCCUGCUGAGGUGAUCCGCCAAUGUGUUCAGGGUGCCAGGGAGGUGCGAGGCUUCCAGGUGGAUUGCAUACUGAAUGCAGAAGUCCUAUAGACAUAGGUCUUCUUUGCACAGAGCCGACAAACCACCUCCCCGCUGCCUGUUGACAUAGAACAUGGAGGCUGUGUUGUUCGUCAACGCUUGCACCACCUGACCAGACAGCUGGGGAAGGAAGACUCCACAAGACCUAAAGCUUGGCAAGUGGUCCGCAACUUCUUAACACUGCGCUGGACCUGGAGUGGUCCUUGAUGAGCCAGUUGUCAAGGUAUCCAAAUCUACCCAUACUUCAACAUCUGAGAAGGGAGGGAUUGAAUGAAGAUUUCUGAGAUAAAAUACUCCGAUUUGCGGUGCCUACAGAGAUGCGUGGGGAGCGUCGCAAGUUGCC